CGAAAUAGCUUUAGGGCUAGCCUCGAGGUAAAGAGUCAUGGAGGUAGAGCACUGUUUGGACUAGGGGCCCUUCUCGGGUUACCGAAUUCAGAUAAACUCCGAAUGCCAUGUACUUAUACUCGGGAGUCAGACUGCGAGUGAUAAGAUCCGUAGUCGAAAGGGAAACAGCCCAGACCACCAGUUAAGGUCCCCAAAUAUAUGUUAAGUGGAAAAGGAUGUGGGGUUGCUUAGACAACCAGGAUGUUGGCUUAGAAGCAGCCACCAUUGAAAGAGUGCGUAAUAGCUCACUGGUCGAGUGACCCCGCGCCGAAAAUGUACCGGGGCUAAACAUAUUACCGAAACUGUGGAUGAACCUCUUUAGAGGUUCGUGGUAGGAGAGCGUUCUAAGGGCGGUGAAGUCAGACCGGAAGGACUGGUGGAGCGCUUAGAAGUGAGAAUGCCGGUAUGAGUAGCGAAAGAAGGGUGAGAAUCCCUUCCACCGAAUAUCUAAGGUUUCCUGAGGAAGGCUCGUCCGCUCAGGGUUAGUCGGGACCUAAGCCGAGGCCGAUAGGCGUAGGCGAUGGACAACAGGUAGAGAUUCCUGUACCAGUGCUAAUUGUUUAACCGAUGGGGUGACACAGAAGGAUAGGGAAUCGCACGAAUGGAAAUGUGCGUCCAAGCAGUGAGUGUGAGAAGUAGGCAAAUCCGCUUCUCGCGAAGCAUGAGCUGUGAUGGGGAAGGAAAUUAAGUACGGAAGUUCCUGAUUUCACGCUGUCAAGAAAAGCCUCUAGGAAGAGUAGUACUGCCCGUACCGCAAACCGACACAGGUAGAUGAGGAGAGAAUCCUAAGGUGAGCGAGAGAACUCUCGUUAAGGAACUCGGCAAAAUGACCCCGUAACUUCGGGAGAAGGGGUGCUCUAUUAGGGUGCAAGCCCGAGAGAGCCGCAGUGAAUAGGCCCAGGCGACUGUUUAGCAAAAACACAGGUCUCUGCAAAACCGUAAGGUGACGUAUAGGGGCUGACGCCUGCCCGGUGCUGGAAGGUUAAGAGGAGUGCUUAGCUUCGGCGAAGGUACGAAUUGAAGCCCCAGUAAACGGCGGCCGUAACUAUAACGGUCCUAAGGUAGCGAAAUUCCUUGUCGGGUAAGUUCCGACCCGCACGAAAGGCGCAACGAUCUGGGCACUGUCUCAACGAGAGACUCGGUGAAAUUAUAGUACCUGUGAAGAUGCAGGUUACCCGCGACAGGACGGAAAGACCCCGUGGAGCUUUACUGCAACCUGAUAUGGAAUGUUUGUACCGCUUGUACAGGAUAGGUAGGAGCCGAAGAGACGUGUGCGCUAGCAUACGAGGAGGCAAUGGUGGGAUACUACCCUGGCUGUAUGACCAUUCUAACCCGCCACGCUUAGCGCGUGGGGAGACAGUGUCAGGUGGGCAGUUUGACUGGGGCGGUCGCCUCCUAAAGAGUAACGGAGGCGCCCAAAGGUUCCCUCAGAAUGGAUGGAAAUCAUUCGCAGAGUGUAAAGGCACAAGGGAGCUUGACUGCGAGACUGACAAGUCGAGCAGGGACGAAAGUCGGGCUUAGUGAUCCGGUGGUUCCGCAUGGAAGGGCCAUCGCUCAACGGAUAAAAGCUACCCCGGGGAUAACAGGCUUAUCUCCCCCAAGAGUCCACAUCGACGGGGAGGUUUGGCACCUCGAUGUCGGCUCGUCGCAUCCUGGGGCUGUAGUCGGUCCCAAGGGUUGGGCUGUUCGCCCAUUAAAGCGGCACGCGAGCUGGGUUCAGAACGUCGUGAGACAGUUCGGUCCCUAUCCGUCGCGGGCGCAGGAAAUUUGAGAGGAGCUGUCCUUAGUACGAGAGGACCGGGAUGGACACACCGCUGGUGUACCAGUUGUUCCGCCAGGAGCAUCGCUGGGUAGCUAUGUGUGGCAGGGAUAAACGCUGAAAGCAUCUAAGCGUGAAGCCCCCCUCAAGAUGAGAUUUCCCAUUUCUUCGGAAAGUAAGAUCCCUGAAAGAUGAUCAGGUAGAUAGGUUUGGAGUGGAAGUGUAGCGAUACAUGGAGCGGACAAAUACUAAUCGAUCGAGGACUUAACCAAAA
rnacentral:rRNA from 1 species